AUCGAACGCUGGCGGCAGGCCUAACACAUGCAAGUCGAGCGAGGACUUCGGUCCUAGCGGCGGACGGGUGAGUAACGCGUGGGAACGUGCCCUUUGCUUCGGAAUAGCCCUGGGAAACUGGGAGUAAUACCGGAUGAGCCCUUUGGGGGAAAGAUUUAUCGGCGAAGGAUCGGCCCGCGUUGGAUUAGGUAGUUGGUGGGGUAAUGGCCUACCAAGCCGACGAUCCAUAGCUGGUUUGAGAGGAUGAUCAGCCACACUGGGACUGAGACACGGCCCAGACUCCUACGGGAGGCAGCAGUGGGGAAUCUUAGACAAUGGGGGAAACCCUGAUCCAGCCAUGCCGCGUGAGCGAUGAAGGCCUUAGGGUUGUAAAGCUCUUUCAGCUGGGAAGAUAAUGACGGUACCAGCAGAAGAAGCCCCGGCUAACUCCGUG
rnacentral:rRNA from 1 species